rnacentral:lncRNA from 1 species
AUCCAGGAACUAGAAUAAACUGGAAAAGUAUUGAAGACUGGAACAAAAUAAGAGAAACCACAGCAAAUAUGUCUUGGAAGAAAUGUCAACAACACAGGAAAAUGCAGUCUUUGGCUCCUCGCAUCAAACUAGAGACAGCAUGAAGUCUCAGGAAAGUACAGUGGAGACUGAUGGUGCUUAUCAGCUCUGGAAUACAGCAGGCAAGAUGCUUGAGUGAUGUUUACAUUUCUAGUCCCACUCCUGUUAACUUGGUGCCCAGGAGUAAUUAAUACUGUUCACUAUGGAGAAGUGACUCUGACAGAGAAGGGAUUUUCACAGGUACAACCAGGAAAAACUUGACAAAAGUGAUUUUUGAGUAUCAGUGGAUCUUGAAAAGGGGGAGUUAUUUAUUUCAUGAAUAAGAAUAUAAGAGCAUUCAGA